UACGGGGGGGGCAAGCGUUGUUCGGAAUUACUGGGCGGAAAGGGCGCGUAGGCGGCCAACUAAGUCGGACGUGAAAUCCCCAGGCUCAACCUGGGAACUGCAUCCGAUACUGGAUGGCUUGAAUUCGGGAGAGGGAUGCAGAAUUCCAGGUGUAGCGGUGAAAUGCGUAGAUAUCUGGAGGAAUACCGGUGGCGAAGGCGGCAUCCUGGACCGACAUUGACGCUGAGGAGCGAAAGCCAGGGGAGCAAACGGG
rnacentral:rRNA from 1 species